rnacentral:rRNA from 1 species
AGAGUUUGAUCCUGGCUCAGGACGAACGCUGGCGGCGUGCCUAACACAUGCAAGUCGAGCGGUCUCGCCUAUAGCAAAAGGCCUUCGGGCUUCGAGCAAAGGCGAGAUAGCGGCGGACGGGUGAGUAACGCGUGGCUUAUCUGUCCCAGGGAGGGGGAUAACGUCUGGAAACGGGCGCUAAUACCCCAUAUGCCGGUGAGGUAAAAAGGAGAAAUCCGCCCUGGGGUGAGGCCGCGUCCUAUCAGCUAGUUGGUGAGGUAACGGCCCACCAAGGCUAUGACGGGUAGCCGGCCUGAGAGGGCGGCUGGCCACACUGGGAUUGAGAUACGGCCCAGACUCCUACGGGAGGCAGCAGUGGGGAAUAUUGGGCAAUGGGGGAAACCCUGACCCAGCGACGCCGCGUGGAGGAAGGAGCCCUUCGGGGUGUAAACUCCUGUUGUAAGGGAAGAAGACAGUGACGGUACCUUACGAGGAAGCCCCGGCAAACUACGUGCCAGCAGCCGCGGUAACACGUAGGGGGCGAGCGUUGUCCGGAAUCACUGGGUGUAAAGCGCACGCAGGCGGAUGCGCGCGUCGGCUGUGAAAUGCACCGGCUCAACCGGUGCACUGCGGUCGAUACGGCGCGUCUGGAGUGCGGGAGAGGGAAGCGGAAUUCCCGGUGUAGCGGUGAAAUGCGUAGAUAUCGGGAGGAACGCCGGUGGCGAAGGCGGCUUCCUGGCCCGCAACUGACGCUCAUGUGCGAAAGCCAGGGGAGCGAACCGGAUUAGAUACCCGGGUAGUCCUGGCCGUAAACGAUGGACGCUAGGUGUGGGCGGUUUAUCCGUCUGUGCCGAAGUUAACGCGUUAAGCGUCCCGCCUGGGGAGUACGAUCGCAAGGUUGAAACUCAAAUGAAUUGACGG